UGGAAACAGCUCCGCUACUCACCGUAGCCGGAAGUUGGCUUUCUUUUCCUUCGCUUAUUAUCCCGUUCCCUUGUGAAAUUCCUCCUGCUGUUUAGUGGGCCUGUGAGCGAAGGAAGACGCUUAACUCAUAAUUAGGCGCAUAUUUCCCGGAGUUUGCUUGGAAUGACCGUCCCGUUUUCCACCUAGCCAAAUCCUUCGCGCCUGGAUUAAUUGCCACCUCUUCCACGAGGCUUUUUCUGUAAUGAAGACGAGCCAGGCAGGAUGGCUGGAUUCAGAUCCCUUUCUUACUACUUAGUAGCUGCGUGAAUUUGGACAAGUUUACUUGGCCGUCCCCUGCCUUGUAUUACCCAUCUGUAAGAUUCUUACAAUAACCUCAAUCACUAAAACAGAACAGUGCACAGCACAUAGUGAGGACUGCAUUUUGAUUCAGGUGUGUAAAAACAGUCACGCUCCUUCUUCCCUGAAGAUAAUGAACAGAUAAAGACCCCGAAAAAAGCAGUUGUGCUCUGAAGGAAUGGAACAAAGUUCUGUAGGAUCAUGCAACAGAGGAAACUGACCUCACCUGGGAACAAUUGGAAAGACUUUCUUGAAGAAAUGACAUAAGCUGAGCUCUGAAGAAAGAGUAGGAGUUAGUAAGGGAACCCGACUUGGAGAUCUGAGCAAAGCGACCCGGGGAAACCAUCCUCACAUGCCAUCACCAGUCCCCUCAAGCCACCCUGAGCAUAUGACUAGGAUGAUCCAAUCAGAGGAAAGCUCGGGACUUCUGUGACCACUCUUCCCUGCUGGAUUGAGCAAGGAAACCCACAGCUUCCGGCAACCACCUCGGAGCCCCAAGGGGAGCAAGGUUUAGAAUGAAGCCAAUAUCUCCAAAUACGGAGAAGAGAGGUACAGAAACCAGCCCUGUGCAUCUUUGAGUCACCGGAUCCAUUUUUACCUGCAGUAAUCCUUCCUCUAGACCUUUCGCCAAAAAGUAUGAGCCAAAAAUUUGCCUUGAUUGUUUACA